UACCUGCAACACGGCCACAACCGUCACUGAGGGAAUACGACGGUUAUGGCUUCUCAACUUUUACACACGUCUUAAGCUCUCGACGGCCGGCUCAACUUUUCCUAACUUAUAUUUACCCGGUGUCGAUGGGAUCGUAGCGACUUUAUCGUGCUUCUGUGUUCUCCCGGUACGUCUGUCUGGUUGAGCCAUCUGCCUCCAGCGUAAAUCUGGCGCACUGUCCCGCAGUGGCUCAUAAAGAGCCUCGUUAAUAUUUCACAGCCGAGUCAGUGGAAGUUAACAUGGGGGCAAAGCAGAGCAGCCCGACCGCUGAUCCAGCUGCUAACGGACGGACCAGAGCCUACUCCGGCUCAGACCUGCCCUCCAGUACCUCUAACAGUAACGGCAGUAACGUUAGCAGGACUAACGCAGGGGGUCUGAGGUAUCAUGCAUACCGUGCGUCCGGAGCCUCUGGGGCCACGUCCAGCAGUAGCCAGCACCUUGGAGCAAGGGCCAGGUCUGUAGGGGGCUCAGGAGGCUCUGGGACCAGACUUCCGUCCGGCAUCAACAUUCCGAAUAGCAGCGGAGCCUACAGCUCCCAGGAGUCCGGCGGCAGCAGCCCGGAAGAGGCGGUGGACAGGGAGCGCUCAGGCGGAGGGCACGAAGGUCCACGGCUCGUGAUAGGAUCACUACCAGCACAUCUCUCGCCCCAGUUGUUCGGAGGGUUCAAGUGUCCUGUGUGCUCCAAGUUUGUGUCAACAGAUGAGAUGGAUCUUCAUCUUGUCUUGUGCUUAACCAAACCCAGAGUGACAUAUAACGAGGACGUGCUUGCUAAGGAUGCUGGAGAAUGUGCAAUCUGCCUGGAGGAGCUGCUACAGGGAGACACCAUAGCCCGCCUGCCCUGCCUCUGCAUCUACCAUAAAGGGUUACCAACCCCUGCUGUUUCCAGACAAUAAAAUGGAGGUGUCGGUUCCCUUCGCCCACACCAUGGUUUGACGUUGCCGACACAUCUGAGCAGCCGCCAGACAGCUGUAUCGAUGAGUGGUUCCAAGUGAACAGAUCAUGUCCAGAGCAUCCAUCAGAUUAAAGCUUUGUUUGCACAGGUACUCUACAAUAAGAUUGAUCCAUGAAAUGAAUUGUGGAUCCAGGGAAACUGCUGGACGCUGUGACCACUGUGAUGAGUGAACCCAUCCCCACCUACCUACUGAUGUAGAACCAUGGUUUGCCAAAUGUCAUUAAAGCAAUCUUCAGGGAUACAGAUGUUUGUGUUGCACACUGUACGUCUGACACUGCAUCGACUGAUCUCCACCUCACAUCCUCCCGAGCCCUGACACUGAGAGCCACACAUGACAUUGUGAUGCGCGGCCAUUGGACAGCAUGUCAGCUGAUGGGUGAGGGUUUUCCCUCCCCAUUUGACUCUGAAUCCCUCUAACACCAGUGUCUACCAGUGCCUUGUUGUGAUGUGCAGCCACAGCAGGGCCGGACAAAGGAGUCCCAACUAUGAGCUGAGUCAGUCCAGUCCAGGACAAACGAGACAGAGACAUCUGUCUGCAUGAGCAGCUCGGACUUAUACAGAAUUAAAGCUGCUGCUAAAUUGGUGCCAAUCACCUGUGAAUAUAAUUAAACACACACACACUAAGUCAUUA